rnacentral:rRNA from 1 species
AGAGUUUGAUCAUGGCUCAGAUUGAACGCUGGCGGCAGGCCUAACACAUGCAAGUCGAACGGUAACAGGAAGCAGCUUGCUGCUUUGCUGACGAGUGGCGGACGGGUGAGUAAUGUCUGGGAAACUGCCUGAUGGAGGGGGAUAACUACUGGAAACGGUGGCUAAUACCGCAUAACGUCGCAAGACCAAAGAGGGGGACCUUCGGGCCUCUUGCCAUCAGAUGUGCCCAGAUGGGAUUAGCUGGUUGGUGAGGUAACGGCUCACCAAGGCGACGAUCCCUAGCUGGUCUGAGAGGAUGACCAGCCACACUGGAACUGAGACACGGUCCAGACUCCUACGGGAGGCAGCAGUGGGGAAUAUUGCACAAUGGGCGCAAGCCUGAUGCAGCCAUGCCGCGUGUAUGAAGAAGGCCUUCGGGUUGUAAAGUACUUUCAGCGGGGAGGAAGGUGUUGUGGUUAAUAACCGCAGCAAUUGACGUUACCCGCAGAAGAAGCACCGGCUAACUCCGUGCCAGCAGCCGCGGUAAUACGGAGGGUGCAAGCGUUAAUCGGAAUUACUGGGCGUAAAGCGCACGCAGGCGGUCUGUCAAGUCGGAUGUGAAAUCCCCGGGCUCAACCUGGGAACUGCAUUCGAAACUGGCAGGCUUGAGUCUUGUAGAGGGGGGUAGAAUUCCAGGUGUAGCGGUGAAAUGCGUAGAGAUCUGGAGGAAUACCGGUGGCGAAGGCGGCCCCCUGGACAAAGACUGACGCUCAGGUGCGAAAGCGUGGGGAGCAAACAGGAUUAGAUACCCUGGUAGUCCACGCCGUAAACGAUGUCUACUUGGAGGUUGUGCCCUUGAGGCGUGGCUUCCGGAGCUAACGCGUUAAGUAGACCGCCUGGGGAGUACGGCCGCAAGGUUAAAACUCAAAUGAAUUGACGGGGGCCCGCACAAGCGGUGGAGCAUGUGGUUUAAUUCGAUGCAACGCGAAGAACCUUACCUGGUCUUGACAUCCACGGAAGUUUUCAGAGAUGAGAAUGUGCCUUCGGGAACCGUGAGACAGGUGCUGCAUGGCUGUCGUCAGCUCGUGUUGUGAAAUGUUGGGUUAAGUCCCGCAACGAGCGCAACCCUUAUCCUUUGUUGCCAGCGGUCCGGCCGGGAACUCAAAGGAGACUGCCAGUGAUAAACUGGAGGAAGGUGGGGAUGACGUCAAGUCAUCAUGGCCCUUACGACCAGGGCUACACACGUGCUACAAUGGCGCAUACAAAGAGAAGCGACCUCGCGAGAGCAAGCGGACCUCAUAAAGUGCGUCGUAGUCCGGAUUGGAGUCUGCAACUCGACUCCAUGAAGUCGGAAUCGCUAGUAAUCGUGGAUCAGAAUGCCACGGUGAAUACGUUCCCGGGCCUUGUACACACCGCCCGUCACACCAUGGGAGUGGGUUGCAAAAGAAGUAGGUAGCUUAACCUUCGGGAGGGCGCUUACCACUUUGUGAUUCAUGACUGGGGUGAAGUCGUAACAAGGUAACCGUAGGGGAACCUGCGGUUG